rnacentral:rRNA from 1 species
AAAUUGAAGAGUUUGAUCAUGGCUCAGAUUGAACGCUGGCGGCAGGCCUAACACAUGCAAGUCGAGCGGAAACGAGUUAUCAGAACCUUCGGGGGACGAUAACGGCGUCGAGCGGCGGACGGGUGAGUAAUGCCUAGGAAAUUGCCCUGAUGUGGGGGAUAACCAUUGGAAACGAUGGCUAAUACCGCAUGAUGCCUACGGGCCAAAGAGGGGGACCUUCGGGCCUCUCGCGUCAGGAUAUGCCUAGGUGGGAUUAGCUAGUUGGUGAGGUAAGGGCUC